CCUACGGGGGGCUGCAGUGGGGAAUAUUGCACAAUGGGGGAAACCCUGAUGCAGCGACGCCGCGUGAGUGAAGAAGUAAUUCGUUAUGUAAAGCUCUAUCAGCAGGGAAGAAAAUGACGGUACCUGAGUAAGAAGCCCCGGCUAACUACGUGCCAGCAGCCGCGGUAAUACGUAGGGGGCAAGCGUUAUCCGGAUUUACUGGGUGUAAAGGGAGCGUAGACGGCAGUGCAAGUCUGGAGUGAAAGGCGGGGACUCAACCCCCGGACUGCUCUGGAAACUGUACGGCUAGAGUGCAGGAGAGGUAAGUGGAAUUCCUAGUGUAGCGGAGAAAUGCGUAGAUAUUAGGAGGAACACCAGUGGCGAAGGCGGCUUACUGGACUGUAACUGACGUUGAGGCUCGAAAGCGUGGGGAGCAAACAGGAUUAGAUACCCCGGUAGUC
rnacentral:rRNA from 1 species